rnacentral:rRNA from 1 species
AAACCGGAGCUAAUACGGAUAAUAUAUUGAACCGCAUGGUUCAAUAGUGAAAGACGGUUUUGCUGUCACUUAUAGAUGGAUCCGCGCCGCAUUAGCUAGUUGGUAAGGUAACGGCUUACCAAGGCAACGAUGCGUAGCCGACCUGAGAGGGUGAUCGGCCACACUGGAACUGAGACACGGUCCAGAUCCUACGGGAGGCAGCAGCG